rnacentral:lncRNA from 1 species
UUUUAAUGCAUGCAAAUUUGACUGUACAGCUAAAAGAUAAAGAGCACACUUACAGACGGAACUCGAACUGGGGGUGUUUUGUCAGUAGCUUCACCAAACUGGUCAUCUCUGACAUUAACCCAAAUAGAACACAACAUGCCACAACAUGCAAGAAGUUCACCCAAAAGGUGCAUGUCAAAAUAAAAAGAAAAGAGAGAGAAAAAACACACACAAAAAACCCAGAAACAAUUUUAAUCAGACAAACAUUCACUUGGUACACAGUACAAACGUCUGUGCUAAGCCAUGAUUUAUACAAAUUACGAAUUCUAGCUUGGGGCGAAGUGACGUCAACUCCGAUCAACUCCUGUAUACACAGUGUAAA